CGCCUCUUGCAUAAAACCAAAUAUAAGAGGUCCCGCCUGCCCUGUGACUAUAAGUUUAACGGCCGCGGUAUUUUGACCGUGCGAAGGUAGCGCAAUCACUUGUCUUUUAAAUGAAGACCUGUAUGAAUGGCACGACGAGGGCUUAACUGUCUCCUUCCCCUAGUCAAUGAAAUUGAUCUGCCCGUGCAGAAGCGGACAUAAGACCAUAAGACGAGAAGACCCUAUGGAGCUUUCAGACGCACAAGAAGACCAUGUUAAUUAGCCCUAAUAAGGGAGUAAACCAAAUGCCACCUCCUUGAAUGUCUUUGGUUGGGGCGACCACGGGGAAACAUAAAACCCCCACGAGGAAAGAGAAUAAAACCUCAAAACUAAGAACCGCAGUUCUAAGUAUCAGAACUUCUGCCCUUAAGAUCCGGCAAGCCGAUCAACGAACCAAGUUACCCUAGGGAUAACAGCGCAAUCCCCUUUUAGAGUCCCUAUCAACAAGGGGGUUUACGACCUCGAUGUUGGAUCAGGACAUCCUAAUGGUGCAGCCGCUAUUAAGGGUUCGUUU
rnacentral:rRNA from 1 species